rnacentral:rRNA from 1 species
GAACGCUAGCUACAGGCUUAACACAUGCAGGUCGAGGGGCAGCAUGGUCUUAGCUUGCUAAGGCCGAUGGCGACCGGCGCACGGGUGAGUAACACGUAUCCAACCUGCCGUCUACUCUUGGACAGCCUUCUGAAAGGAAGAUUAAUACAAGAUGGCAUCAUGAGUCCGCAUGUUCACAUGAUUAAAGGUAUUCCGGUAGACGAUGGGGAUGCGUUCCAUUAGAUAGUAGGCGGGGUAACGGCCCACCUAGUCUUCGAUGGAUAGGGGUUCUGAGAGGAAGGUCCCCCACAUUGGAACUGAGACACGGUCCAAACUCCUACGGGAGGCAGCAGUGAGGAAUAUUGGUCAAUGGGCGAGAGCCUGAACCAGCCAAGUAGCGUGAAGGAUGACUGCCCUAUGGGUUGUAAACUUCUUUUAUAAAGGAAUAAAGUCGGGUAUGGAUACCCGUUUGCAUGUACUUUAUGAAUAAGGAUCGGCUAACUCCGUGCCAGCAGCCGCGGUAAUACGGAGGAUCCGAGCGUUAUCCGGAUUUAUUGGGUUUAAAGGGAGCGUAGAUGGAUGUUUAAGUCAGUUGUGGAAGUUUGCGGCUCAACCGUAAAAUUGCAGUUGAUACUGGAUAUCUUGAGUGCAGUUGAGGCAGGCGGAAUUCGUGGUGUAGCGGUGAAAUGCUUAGAUAUCACGAAGAACUCCGAUUGCGAAGGCAGCCUGCUAAGCUGCAACUGACAUUGAGGCUCGAAAGUGUGGGUAUCAAACAGGAUUAGAUACCCUGGUAGUCCACACGGUAAACGAUGAAUACUCGCUGUUUGCGAUAUACUGCAAGCGGCCAAGCGAAAGCGUUAAGUAUUCCACCUGGGGAGUACGCCGGCAACGGUGAAACUCAAAGGAAUUGACGGGGGCCCGCACAAGCGGAGGAACAUGUGGUUUAAUUCGAUGAUACGCGAGGAACCUUACCCGGGCUUAAAUUGCAGAUGAAUUACGGUGAAAGCCGUAAGCCGCAAGGCAUCUGUGAAGGUGCUGCAUGGUUGUCGUCAGCUCGUGCCGUGAGGUGUCGGCUUAAGUGCCAUAACGAGCGCAACCCUUGUUGUCAGUUACUAACAGGUUCCGCUGAGGACUCUGACAAGACUGCCAUCGUAAGAUGUGAGGAAGGUGGGGAUGACGUCAAAUCAGCACGGCCCUUACGUCCGGGGCUACACACGUGUUACAAUGGGGGGUACAGAGGGCCGCUACCACGCGAGUGGAUGCCAAUCCCAAAAACCUCUCUCAGUUCGGACUGGAGUCUGCAACCCGACUCCACGAAGCUGGAUUCGCUAGUAAUCGCGCAUCAGCCACGGCGCGGUGAAUACGUUCCCGGGCCUUGUACACACCGCCCGUCAAGCCAUGGGAGCCGGGGGUACCUGAAGUGCGUAACCGCGAGGAGCGCCCUAGGGUAAAACUGGUGACUGGGGCUA